GAAAUACUUCAUGAUAAGCCAAGUUCUUUGUCAAAACAAACUCAAACAUACAGUGUAAGAAAACUCAAAGAAUUUAAAAUUAUUUAUUUGACAGCUUGGUGAACUCUUGAAAGAUUGGCGGCGUCUCAAUGUUGCUAUCACCAGAGCCAAACAUAAACUGAUUCUCCUGGGCUGCGUGUCCUCACUGAAGCGCUAUCCUCCUUUGGAGAAGUUAUUUUGUUAUCUAAACACAGAAAAAUUAAUAUCCUUUUUGUUAUGUAUAUGGUCACAUUGAAUUGUGCUACUGUGAGUACUUUAUGUCCUUAUAUAAAUUAAGACUCAGAGUCUUACGUUUUCCAUGGGCAUAUUUCAAAGAUCUGAUUCAGCAAAGGAAAGAGAACAAUUUUCAGGGAGUCAUGUAAGCCAGUAGUGAAGUAAUGAGUUGAUGGAGAGGGAUAGUUUCUGAAUUGAGAAACAGAAAAAAGGAAUGUGAUCCAUUGUCCUACAAAUCGCAGGUGUAGGAAAAUGGGUUAUCCCUUCUGGUUCUGCAACUCCAAAUUUAUAACUUUGUUUUCAAUCCAAGGUAAAAUAUUACAUUAAAAAACUGAGCCAGGUGUGGUGGCACCUGUAAUCCUGGCAACUAGGGAGGCUAACACAGGAGGAUUGCAAGUUAAGGCCAGACUCAGCAACUUAGCAAGGCCCUUGUCUUAAAACAAGAAAUAAAAAGCGCUGGGGAUGUGGUUCAGUGGUUAAUCCCUGGUACCAAAAAGAAAAAGGGGGGGGGGGGAGAGGGCUGGGGUUGUAGCUCAGUUGCCACUCAGAGCACUUGCCUCGAAGCGUGAGGCCCUGGGUUCAAUCCUCAGCAUUGCUUAGUACCUCGCUGUUACUGAGGCUGGCUUUGAACCUACCACCCUCCUGCCUCAGCCUCCAAACCACUGGGAUUACAGGCAUGUGCCACUAUGCCCAGCACAUUCCAUUAUUUUUUACUUUAUGGAUAUAAUUUGUUCCUGACGAUUGAACUUGGGCUUUAUGCAUGUUAGGCAAUGACUCUACCAUUGACUACAUCCCUUGCCUUAUUUUACAGUCUUAGAUUAAAAUAUAUAAAUCUUAUUGCCUCAGUGUAUAAGUAUCCAUAGAAUACCAUAAGAUCUUGACAUUUCUUUGUAGUAAACCAAAUCACAAAAUGUGAAAUAAUGUCAUGAAUGUUUUUGUGCAAUUUCAUACUGUGUUUAGUAUAUCUUCCUUAAUUUGUCCUACAUCAUUGAUCUCCCGUCAAGAGAACAUGAAAGUCUCUGUAACAUUUUGGAUGAUUUUCAAAGAGGAUAAAAUGCUGUUUUCCUUGCUUUUUGAUAUAUGGACAGUGUCUCUUGGCUCGUGUCUAAGAUUCAUAAUUUAGCUUUGCUAUAAAGGCUGUGUUUGGUUAAACUGUGAAAAUGACUUUUAUCCAAAGGGAGGAAACGCAAGUUACAUGUACUCUGUGCAGAGUUCCAGAUUUUUGUUUUCUAUUUUUUUUUUAAUCUUAUUAACAUAAAAUUCUAUUGCCAUACAAAAUCCAGCACUACCUUUUUACCAGUACAGAUGUGCUCCAAACUUUGGAAAGUCUAAAUUUAUAGGUAUGAUAAAUUCAUUUUUGUAUGACCUAGAUAAAGAGUUUGAGGCUGGGCGCGGUGGCGCAACUUGGGAAAUUGGGAAGCGGCUCAGUGGUCAAGUGCCCCUAAAUUCAAUCCCUGGUACCCGACCACGCCCCCCCCCCAAAAAAAAAUUGACAAGAUUUUUUUACCAAUUUUAAAGAUGGAUUAAAUUUUGGAUCUAAGCUUUAUAUUUUUAAGUCUAAAAUUUCAAAACUAAUUUGAUUUAUAGAUUCAGUCAUAAGAAUUGUAUCUGCAAGUUGGGCACAGUGAUGCAUGCCUAUAACCCCAGCAACUUAGAAGGCUGAGGCAGGAGAAUCCCAAGUUCAAGGCCAGCUUGGGCAGCUUAUCAAGACCCUGUCUCAAAAUAUAAAAAUGGCUGGGGGUGUGGCUCAGUGGUAUAGUCCCCUGGGGGUUCAAUCUCCCCAUCCUCAGUAUCACACUCACAAAAAAAGGUAUAGUCCCUAUUUUCAAUUAUUCUGUUUGUUUACCUCUUUGUUUGGGGGCAUUAUUAAAUUUUCCCUUUUUGUAUAAAGAUACCGCAGAGUGAUUAAUUGUAUAUAUGAUGACAGAGUUUAGCCUUAGGGUAUCCAUCUUCUGGAGGAAAAUUCUUUCUAUUGAGUGUUUUUGUUUAAUGAAUGUUAGAUAUUUUUAAAAUUAUUGCUUCUACCUUUGAAAUUCUUAUUUAAUAAAUUGUUUUUUACUGAUGGACUUUACUGUG
rnacentral:lncRNA from 1 species